AAUAAUUUUUCUGUGUUGUGAUGCAUACGUUCGACUUGACAUGUACAUUCACAUGGGAGAAAGCCAAACACAGUAUCCUUUUUCCUUCUUGUCUUCUUUUCUCUACAUUUUAAAACUAUGCAGUAUAUAACGGAAGGAUUCCAACGUCUUGCUGUCGAUUAGAUUUGGGGAUCUGUAUGUCCUGGUAAAUAUGACCUCCUUUCACUACUGGAAAAAUAUAUGCGAUGAUAGUGGUGUGGCUAUCGAGCUAGCUGAUGGUUCAGCAAUGUUUGACUCAUGAAGCUUUGGUCUUCGUUUGCUUUUUUUUCUUGGGUUUGUGACUUUUGGUGGUGUCUUUUUUCUUUUUUUCUUUCGUGUUUUUGCAGUUUCUAUUUAUUUGAUGUGGCUCUUUUGGUUUGGUCACUCAGUUGCACACUCCUUCAAUCAUGGUGUUGCUUAUAUGAGAUCUCUAUUGGUUCUGUUGAGUUAUUUGCUGUGGUUUUUUGGUGUGUCCUUACUGCUGCUAAUCCUAUUGGUCAAGGUGCCCCUACCCUUUGUUUCUUGCUAGUCUUACCUCAGCUUCUACACAUUAGUUGGUCAUGGUAUGGCUGCAUCUGAGAUUGUUCUUGGCCCUGCUCAUUUGUACUUGGGAAAAAACAAACCUACACACUUAGUCCUUUAGUCUUAUCUUAUUUUUUAAAAAUAUAGUCUUAUCUUAUUGAUGUCUGUCUUUUUGAGUUGUAUUGUUUAAGACUCUUAUUUUUGCUGUGCACAAAAUGAAUAAAAGAAGCAAUGCUGAUUACAGAGGACAAAUUUUGAUUGGGUUGCACAAUAGCGUCGCCUAAAUUGUUUAUCAAUCGACAUCUGUAUAGGUUUAUUAAAACUAGCAUAUGUAGUGAAUUAUUUUCUUUCUUUGGAUAUCUUUUUUUCGCAUAUCGACAUUUGUAUCUUGACUUUGUUACGUCAAGUUUUCACAUUAUCUUUUGAUGCAA